GAAAAAGACCUGCCCUCCCUUUUCAGUGGCAGCUGUUUUGGGAUCAGCGAGAGGCGACGAGGCGAAGAGAGCGAUGAAGGCAGCGCCGCAGACAGCCCCGGUCCUUGGCGGCAGGAAAGACUCAAGGUCACACGGGAUAAACUGCGAACCGAUUACAGUCUCCUUGCGUCAGUUGCGCGAGAGGAGGAGCUUGUUGCGCUUGCGCAGCUGAUAUCCGUUUAAGGGUCUGGAGCGCAUGUGCAUAGAGAGUGGCGGAAAAAGAAGGUUUAGGCUCCUUACAGCGCUCAUUGGAUGUCCAAUGCUCGCGAGUCUGGCCUGAGAGGAGCCCGGGGCGAGUCCGGGCGCGUGCACGCUCCACGCGCGCGGACGUGUUCCUCGCCUCCGCUCCGCGAGCAGGGCGCCAUCUUGCCCUGGGACUUUAAAACUGCAGACGACGGAAUGUUGGUUACCCGGUCUUGCUGUUUGUCCACAACGUGAAAGAACACCGGGAUAAGCAGAUCUGAAACUAAGUCCGGGCUGCGCUUUUACCACAGCUUCAGGCUUCUCUUUGGGAUGUGUGAAAGCUGUUGGAUUUAAGUCUGCUGUGGAAUGACAGAGCAAGAACACCCUCACCAGGACCUACCAUGUCAAGUCUAGCUCAGAGCCUUUGUACCAACUGUGCCCACCGCCUGGAAGCUGCUGCUCUGACAUCUUCACUUCCUGAAACCUUAUCAUUCAAGUUUUAGCCAACAUUACAAGUUUCCUCUGUUCUCUCAAAUUUAAAAUAAAUUCCUUAAGGACAAAAACAGACUAUUCACAUGUACUUGUUUUUGUAUGAAUGACUUUCUCCGGAAGAAUGCACAAUUAACAUUUGGUGCUCACAGAGAAGGAAGUUGGAUAGCUGGGAGGCAGAACCAGGAGAGAGACUUCUUUGCAUAGUGUCUUCUAUUUAAAAUGUGUAGACUUAUUAAGUAUAUUAUCUUUUUUAAAAAAUUCUUUAAAAAAUACAAAUUAAAGAAGAAAAAAUAAAGUAGC